AGAUUGAACGCUGGCGGCAGGCCUAACACAUGCAAGUCGAGCGGCAGCACGGGUACUUGUACCUGGUGGCGAGCGGCGGACGGGUGAGUAAUGCCUAGGAAUCUGCCUGAUAGUGGGGGAUAACGUUCGGAAACGGACGCUAAUACCGCAUACGUCCUACGGGAGAAAGUGGGGGAUCUUCGGACCUCACGCUAUCAGAUGAGCCUAGGUCGGAUUAGCUAGUUGGUAGGGUAAAGCCUACCAAGGCUACGAUCCGUAACUGGUCUGAGAGGAUGAUCAGUCACACUGGAACUGAGACACGGUCCAGACUCCUACGGGAGCAGCAGUGGGAAUAUUGGACAAUGGGCGAAAGCCUGAUCCAGCCAUGCCGCGUGUGUGAAGAGGUCUUCGGAUUGUAAAGCACUUUAAGUUGGAGAAGGUCAGUUACCUAAGUACGUAUCUGUUUUUGACGUUUACCGACGUAGAAUUAAGCUAACCGGACUAACCGUC
rnacentral:rRNA from 1 species